rnacentral:lncRNA from 1 species
AAUAUAGUGAAUAAUAAAUAUAUAUCCCUACAAAGUUCGACUUUUAUAUGUUAAUAGUUCUGCGAAAAUUCCGAUAUUUUCAAAUAUGUCCUUGUCGUUAGAUUUUAUUAGAAAAGUUAGUUAACCAUAGGUUAAAUACUUAGUUCUGAUUAAUUUUUAAUAUUUUUAUCCCUCUUAUAUUAUACUAUUAUAGCUUUUAAAGUAAUAUAUUUGUAAUAACAAAAUUAAAAAUAUAAACAGCUCUCUAAUGAUUCUCUAAUGAUAACAAAUUAGAUGACAUAUUUGAAAUCAUCAAGACUUUUGCAAGAAUAAAAUAUGAAAGUUGAA